rnacentral:rRNA from 1 species
AUACAGAGGGUGCGAGCGUUAAUCGGAAUUGCUGGGCGUAAAGCGCGCGUAGGCGGCUGAUUAAGUCAGAUGUGAAAUCCCAGGGCUCAACCUUGGAACUGCAUCUGAUACUGGUCAGCUAGAGUUUGGGAGAGGGAAGUAGAAUUUCAGGUGUAGCGGUGAAAUGCAUAGAUAUCAGAACGAAUACCAGUGGCGAAGGCGGCUUCCUGGCCUAAAACUGACGCUGAGGUGCGAAAGCGUGGGUAGCAAACGGGAUUAGAAACCCGAGUAGUCC